UGCAGUCGAGCGGUAACAUUUCUAGCUUGCUAGAAGAUGACGAGCGGCGGACGGGUGAGUAAUACUUAGGAAUCUACCUAGUAGUGGGGGAUAGCUCGGGGAAACUCGAAUUAAUACCGCAUACGACCUACGGGAGAAAGGGGGCAACUUGUUGCUCUCGCUAUUAGAUGAGCCUAAGUCGGAUUAGCUAGAUGGUGGGGUAAAGGCCUACCAUGGCGACGAUCUGUAGCUGGUCUGAGAGGAUGAUCAGCCACACCGGGACUGAGACACGGCCCGGACUCCUACGGGAGGCAGCAGUGGGGAAUAUUGGACAAUGGGGGAAACCCUGAUCCAGCCAUGCCGCGUGUGUGAAGAAGGCCUUUUGGUUGUAAAGCACUUUAAGCAGUGAAGAAGACUCUUCGGUUAAUACCCGGAGACGAUGACAUUAGCUGCAGAAUAAGCACCGGCUAACUCUGUGCCAGCAGCCGCGGUAAUACAGAGGGUGCAAGCGUUAAUCGGAAUUACUGGGCGUAAAGCGAGCGUAGGUGGCUUGAUAAGUCAGAUGUGAAAUCCCCGGGCUUAACCUGGGAACUGCAUCUGAUACUGUCAGGCUAGAGUAGGUGAGAGGAAGGUAGAAUUCCAGGUGUAGCGGUGAAAUGCGUAGAGAUCUGGAGGAAUACCGAUGGCGAAGGCAGCCUUCUGGCAUCAUACUGACACUGAGGCUCGAAAGCGUGGGUAGCAAACAGGAUUAGAUACCCUGGUAGUCCACGCCGUAAACGAUGUCUACUAGUCGUUGGGUCCCUUGAGGACUUAGUGACGCAGCUAACGCAAUAAGUAGACCGCCUGGGGAGUACGGCCGCAAGGUUAAAACUCAAAUGAAUUGACGGGGGGCCCGCACAAGCGGUGGAGCAUGUGGUUUAAUUCGAUGCAACGCGANAACCUUACCUGGU
rnacentral:rRNA from 1 species